rnacentral:tRNA from 1 species
GGGGGAUUAGCUCAGCUGGGAGAGCACCUGCUUUGCAAGUAGGGGGUCGUCGGUUCGAUCCCGUCAUCCUCCA